AACGCACAUUGCGCCCCUUGGUAUUCCGAGGGGCAUGCCUGUCCGAGCGUCAUUUCAACCCUCAAGCAUAGCUUGGUCUUGGGCUUCGCUGCUAACCCAGCGGGUCUUAAAAUCAGUGGCGGUGCCGUCGGGCCCUGAGCGUAGUACAUCUCCUCGCUAUAGGGCCCCGGCGGAUGCUGGCCAUCAACCCCCAAUUUUCUAUGGUUGACCUCGGAUCAGGUAGGGAUACCCGCUGAACUUAA
rnacentral:misc_RNA from 1 species